rnacentral:lncRNA from 1 species
UGUCAUGGUUUUAUGAUUUCUGGUUAUCAGUAUUCCACAUCACAACAUCAUGCAGUGUACUGGGAGUUAAAGAGCAAAUGCUUUAGUUCCGGGUACCUGUCUGGAAGAGAAGAAGAACUACAUUCCCCAAGAGCCUUUUCGAGUACUGUUAUCAUUCCUGCUCAAGGGAACAGAUAUAAGGGCGCAGGUCAUCUGACUUGCCCCUCUUCUCGUCUCGCUGUGUUCCUUGUCGGAUCGGCUCGCUACUGCUGCUCCUGACUGCGUGCAAGGCUUCAGUAUUAGCCCUACCUGAAGAAGUGAUGCUAGGUCCUCAGAAGUUCUCUCACCAAGAAGUUCUCUUCAGUUGUACUAAAGGCCUACUGAGGGGGGUGGACAAAGAGACUUUAUGAAACCCUGUGGGAACUGAAUGAAAGGCCUAGAGAUGACAGACCCAGUGCCCUGAAGAUGCUACAGACAACAUGGGC